GUCUAAGUCAAAAUACGCUUUGAGGGGGUCCUCGUUAUCUUCUGCCCUGCGCCGGAGUCUCCGGUCGUCGGCGGAUGCGCGAGGCGCCGCCGUUAAGGGGAUACAUACUUGCUGCCGCCGAGGCAAGAGACCGGAGGGGCGAGGGCCCCGCUCGAAGAGCGAGCGAGCGCGGCGGCUCCUCAGAGACGCCGCUGCUGAAUUUGUGCGCCUCAUAUGUUCGACGCGGCGGCCGGCUCCGCCUUAGGCGCGGAGGACCCAUGCGUUCUGGGGCCUUUGCGCUGGCAAAAAUGGCGUCGUUGUCUGGCGUUUGGAUCGGCGAAGGGGAGGUGCCAAGAAGAGAUCGACGGCGCACUGUUAAGUCGGCCGCGUGGGAUGAUGUGGUCGGAGCUCCUCCCAUUAGCGCAUCCCGUUAUAUCACAGGCAUUAUUCUAUAUUAUUGUGGCACUAAGAAACAAUGAUCCAUGUGCUGAAAUGAUGAUACCUGGAGGUUGGAUUGUGAAGCGCUUCCUGGCCUGAAAAUGGACUGCUUACAUGCAUAAUGUCUGUCCGAUUAUAGGUGAAAUAUUCACGCGACCAUCAGCCUGGCUGCAGGCCGUCACAUCUAGGUACAAACAGGUAUUGAAAGGUCCUGAAAUAAACUAAUAGGAGUUGAAUUGGUAGGAUUCAAUUUUGAUCACAAUCCCUGAGGAUUGAACUGGUAAAGGUGUCUAAUUUAUAUUUCCCCACAAAAAAAUAUGAACAAGGGCCUAUAAAUUCUCACA